rnacentral:rRNA from 1 species
UAGGGAAUCUUCCACAAUGGACGCAAGUCUGAUGGAGCAACGCCGCGUGAGUGAAGAAGGUUUUCGGACCGUAAAGCUCUGUUGUUGGUGAAGAAGGAUAGAGGUAGUAACUGGCCUUUAUUUGACGGUAAUCAACCAGAAAGUCACGGCUAACUACGUGCCAGCAGCCGCGGUAAUACGUAGGUGGCAAGCGUUGUCCGGAUUUAUUGGGCGUAAAGCGAGCGCAGGCGGAAGAAUAAGUCUGAUGUGAAAGCCCUCGGCUUAACCGAGGAAAUUUG